rnacentral:tRNA from 1 species
GUCCCUGUAGCGCACUGGAUAGCGUUUGGAAUUCCAUUCCAAAAGUCGUGGUUUCGAAUCCUACCUGGGAUG